GGUAGUGAAGGAAGUGGCUUUUAAUCAGCUGGAAGCAUCAGCAGACUAGAGUAUCAAAAUCCAAGCUUGUUGAGUGCACAAUUUCUGUCCUUUUUAAGGGCUCACAACACUAAGGUUUUUACAUGAAAGGGCCAUGAUUGAUUGAGCAAUCUAGUGGGUAUGUGACAAGGGCUGCAUGCACCAGUACUCAGAGUGAAACAGAACAGAACAAGAAAUUUCACAAUGUCCUUCCAUACAAUGUCUGGAAUCUAUGGAUAACAUCAGUUGCUAGGUCAUGGGUUGAAUUUUAACUUUCAGGCUAAGGUCAGGAAGGCCCAGGCCUGGUUUCGGGUCUGGUUUUGGAUCUGGUGCCUGGCGCCGGGCUGCCUGCCUUUGGUUUCGCUUCCUUGUUUCUUCUUAAAACAGGUACUGAGUAUAAAAUAAUACAGAACAAUAUGGGGGGGGUCUUUUGCUCUCUUCUCUCAAUAGCACCCCUUACCUGGGAUAUUACAAAACAUACCAUAGAGGGGUGUACGCCUCCUGCAAAAUGGGGAAUAAUAGCACCCUCUCUUACCCUGGAUAUUUCGAACCAUACCACAGGGAGGUGCACUCCCCCCGCGAUAUGGGGAGUAAUAGCACCCUCAAUCCCCUGGAUAUUGUGAACCGUACCACAGGGGAGUGUACAUUUCCAGCGAUAUGAGGGGUAAUAACACCCUCUUCGUUCCCGGAGAUUACAAAACAUACCACACGGGGGUGUACACACCCCGCGAUAUGGGAAGUAAUAGCAUCCUCUUUCCCCCUGGAUAUUAGGAACCGUACCGCAGCAGGGUGUACAUGCCUCGCGAUAUGGGGAAUAAUAGCACCCUUUCCCUCCCUGGAUAUUAUGAACCAUACCACAGGGGGGUGUACACCCCUUGCAAUAUGGAAAGUAAUAGCACCCUCUUUCCUUCUGGAUAUUAGGAAACAUACCAAAGAGGGGUGUACACCCCCUGCGAUAUUGAAAGUAAUAUUAUCUUGCUCCCUUCUGGAUACUAGGAACAAUAUCACAGGGGAGUGUACAUGCCCUGUGAUGUUUUGAGUAAUAUCAUCCUCUCCCCUUUGAAUGUUAGGAUCAAUAUCACAGGGAGGUGUACACGUUCUGCGAUAUUGGGAGUAAUAUCAUCCUCUACUUUUCUGGAUAUUAGGAACAGUAUCACAGAAGAUGUGAACACUCCCUGCUAUAUAUCCAGUAAUAUCAACCUCUCCCCUCCUGGAUAUCAAGAAUAAUAUAACCGGGGGGUGUACCCCACCUCUGAUAUUGGAAGUAAUAUCAUCCUCUCUCCCUCUAUAUAUUAUGAACAAUAUCUCAGAGAGGGUGUAUGCCCCCUGCGAUAUUGGGCGUAAUAUCAUACUCUCUUCCCCUGGAUAUUAAAAACAAUAUCACAGGGGGAAUAGGCACCACCUGAGAUAUUGGGAGUAAUAUCAUCCUCUCCCUUAAAGGAUAUUAGGAACAAUACAUAGGGGUGGUGUACACCUCCUGUGAUAUUAUAAGUUAUAUCAUCCUCUCUUCCCCCAAAAUAUUAGGAACAAUAUUACAGGGGCGUUGUACACCUUCUGGGAUAUGGAGAGCAAUGUCAUCCUCUUUUCCAUUGGAUAUUAGGAACAAUAUAAAAGGGGGGUGGACACACCCUGCGAUAUUGGCAGUAAUAUCAUCUUUUCCCUCCUGGAUAUUAAGAAAAAUAUAACAAGAGAGGUGUACACUUCCUGCGACAUUGAGAGUGAUAUCGUCCUCCCCCGCAUGGAUAUUAGGAACAAUAUCACAGGUUGGUGCACACCCCCUGCGAUAUUGGGACUAAUAUCAUCCUCUCCCCGCCCGAAUAUUUGGAACAAUAUCACAGGGGGGUGUACACCCCCCUGCAAUAUUGAGAGUAAUAUUCUCUCUUCCUGUGGAUAUUAGGAACGAUAUCACAGGAGAGGUGUACACACCCUGAGAUAUUGGGAGUAAUAUUUUCAUCUUUCCUUUUGAAUAUUAGGAACAAUAGCAGGGUGGGGUACACACCCUGUGAUAUUGGCAGUAAUGUCAUCCUUCUUCCCCCUGGGUAUUAGAAACAAUAUAACAGGGGAAGUGUACACCCUCUCCGAUAUUGGGAGUAAUAUCAUCCUCUUCCCUGCUGGAUAUUAGGAACAACAUGACACGGUGGGUGUACACUUCCUGGAAAAUGGGAUUAAUAUCAUCCUCUUUCUUCCUGGAUAUUAGGAACACUACCAAAGGGGAAGUGUAACCCCCUGCAAUAUUGGUAGUAAUAUCAUCCUCUUUUUCCCUGAUUAUUAUGAAGAAUAUCACAGCGGGGGUGUACAAUUUCUGCGAUAUUGAGAAUAAUAGCAUCCUCUCCUCCCUCCCCAAAUACUAGAAACAAUAUCCCAGGAUAAGUGUACACCCUCUGCGAUAUUGGGCAUAAUAUCACACUCUUUUCCCCUGGAUAUUAGAAACAAUAUCAUAGGUGGGGUGUACACCCCCUGGGAGUAAUAUCAUCCUCACCACUUCUGGAUAUUAGGAACAAUAUCACAGGAGGUGUGUACACCCCUUGCUGCAAUGGGAGUAAUAUCAUGUACCUUCCCCCUGGAUAUUGAAAACUAUACCACAGGAAAGGUGUACAAACCCUGUGAUAUUGAAAGUAAUAUUAUCUUCUUUCCCCCUGAGUAUUAGGAACAAUACCACAUGGGGUGUGUACACCCCCUGCCAUAUUGGGAGUAAUAUUAUUUUCCCCUCGCCUGGAUAUAAGGAACAAUAUCACAGGAGGGGUGUACACCCCCAGCGAUAUUGAAAGCAAUAUCAUCUCCUCCCCUCUUGAUAUUAAAAACAAUAUCACCGGAGGAGUUCACACCCCUGUGAUAUGGAGACUAAUAUCAUUUUCUCCCCACCGAAGUAUUAAGAACAAUAUCAUCCUCUUCCCUUUUGGAUACUGUGAACAAUCCCACAGGGGAGAGGUACACCCCCUGCGAUAUUGGGAGUAAUAUCCUCUCCCGUCAUGGAUAUUAGGAACAAUAUCACAGGAGCGGUGUACACCCCCUGCGAUAUUGGGAGUAAUAUCAUUUUCUCCCAACCUAACUAGCACAAUAUCACAGGGGGUGUUCGCCCCCUGCCAUAUUGAGAGUAAUGUCAUCCUCUCCCCUCCUGGAUAUGAAAAACAAUAUCACAGUGGGGCCGUGCACCCCCUGCGAUAUUGGGAGUAAUAUCAUCCUCUCUACCCCCUGGAUAUGAGGAACAAUAUUACAAAGGGGUGUACACCCCCUGGAAUAUUCACAGCAAUAUCAUUGUUUCCCUUCCUGGAUAUUAGGAACAGUAUCACAAGGGGGGUGUAGACCUCCAGCGAUAUUGGGAGUAAUAUCAUGCUCUCUCCUUCUUUAUAUUAGAAACAAUAUCACGGGGAGGGGUGUACACCACCUGCGAUAUCAUCCUCUUUACCCCUGGAUAUUAGGAACAAUAUCACUUGUGGGGUGUACUUCUCCUGUGAUAUCGGGCAUAAUAAUAUCCUCUCCCCCCUGAAUAUUAAGAACAAUAUAACAGGGGGACAGCACAACCCCUGUGAUAUUGAAAGUAAUAUCAUCCUCUGCUUCCCUGAAUAUUAGGAACAUUAUCACGGGGGGGGGGGGUGUACACUCCCUGCUAUAUUGGGAGUAAUAUAAUCCUCUCCCUCCCUGAAUAUUAGGAACAAUAUCACAAGGGGGGUGUACAACCCCUUCUAUAUGAGAAGUAAUAUCAUCCUCUUCCUUCCUUUAUAUAUAUUUUUUUCCAUUGAAAGUUGUUUAUUUCUCUGAUGUAAGUGAGCUAAGU
rnacentral:lncRNA from 10 species